AAUAGUUUCGUACCACAAAAUGUGGCACUCUUCAGAUAAAUUGACCUAAGAAGAAGAAGAGUGCCACAUUUUGUGGUACGAAACUAUU